AUGGAGAAGCUUGCGAGGAAAGCUUUUACACGUCCUAGGGAACAUCUUACACCAAGUUGGUAUCUACCGAGACUUGGGCCUGUUAUUCAGUUGGUAGAAGUUAUCAUUAUCCAAAUACUAUCCUUGCCAGCCCUGGUAGUGGUUCUAAUGGCAGGGAUCCUUUAUAAACUUGGGCCUGUUGCAUGCAUUGUGCUCUCACUGUGGCGCCUAUGGCAGCAUGAUUAUUGCAACACCGCAUGUGACGACAACAAAGCAAACCUGGUGCCAGCACUGAACAUGUUCUACUGUUUGGUUAUUGGCCAAGGUGUGCUCUUCUUCAUAUGGUGGUUGAUGGAUGUGUCAGUGAUGUCGGUUAUGGUUUUGUUCCGGGAAGAAUGCCAGUUACCAGAAAAGUGGGGCAGCAUAACAAUUUUAGGUUACCUAUAUGAUAUCCGAGCAAAAUGCUGGCGAGACCCUACAUCCAUAGAUGGUAUGAAUUUGAUCAACUAUGCUGUUGAUUUGGUUGACUCGGAAUCGCAGAAAGACUACCUCUCAGGAGCAAGGAUGCUCGAUAACUUCAUUAAGCUGGAGGCAGAUGUAAGGCCCCUACUACUCCCCUCCAGACCAAAGAUUCAGAAGCUGAUUGAUACGCUAGGAUGGAGAAGCAGCAACAGAGAGCUCAGGGAGGUCGUCGCCAGGAUCGUCGCAUACCUUGCCGGUGACAUUCAUUUGUCCCAGUUCCCAGGGGCGAUACACUGCAUAUCCUCCCUGCUUGAUACCACCCUGCCGUAUUGGAACAACCAACAAGGACCCAGUCAUGUUACUGUUAGUGAGUCAAAAAAAGAUGCUGACGGUGCUAGGGAAAGGUUUAUUUCUCUUGCCAAAGAAAUAGAGGAAUAUAGAGGAAGAAGAGUUGCUGGUUUCGGUAAGAAAAAAUCGAUUUUUGUUCUCAAAGGCACUGAGGACAACAAAGUAAAAAAAUUCAGAAACCAAGGUGGUAACACUCCACAAGAUGGAGUGGAUAGCUCAACCCAUCAUGGCAGCAAAGGAGAUGGCUGGAAUGAGCUGAUUCUACAAGGCCUCACAAUUCUUGAGAGGCUCGUCUUCGAUCAACAUAAUUGCAACGACAUAUGCAACACCCCUGGUCUCCUCCCUAAGAUCAUGGCACCACUGUACUCUGAGACACUAAUCCAAGAUAUCAAUGCAAAUCUAUGGGCCGAUGUAGUGAAUGGGUCACUCAAAGUGGUACACAGGCUCAUCCGUGCUCCAGAGUGGAUUGGCAGAAGUGAUCUGGUCCACAAAAUCUGUUCCAACGAGCAUGCACUGAGCAACCUGGAGAGAAUUCUUUAUCAGGGAAAAAAUGAUGGCACAGAACUGCAGAUGAGAGCCAUAGAAAUCCUGACAGAACUGGUCACUGAUUCGUCAGCCAACCUCAGCACCGAAACAAAAGAAAAUCUAAUCAGAAAACAAGAAGAAUGA
rnacentral:rRNA from 1 species